GGGGAAGCAAACGCUGAAUAUUCUGAACUGAGUGACUACCCACAGUGAAGAAAAUCCUUUAAUGUGAGCGUGGUGUAGUUUUGGAGGUCUGUCCAGAAGAGGUGCAAGAGAAGUAAAAGUGGUUCAGGAACUGAUAACCAGACAGAAAGGACUUCAGAAGGAUGAGGAAAAUAUUGGAUGUCUCUAUCAAACAAGUGACGGAUGAAGAGAGCAGUGCCUUUUCAUUCUUGCCUUACUCUGGAUUUCCUCCCUUCCAGCUGGACAGAGGAGUCUGCACACACUGUGCAAGCAGAAGUGCCUGUCUCCUGGUUGUGAUGACAAACAACCACAGGUGCAAACACUUUAGUACCUCCACACUCAUCUCUCUCCUAUUAACAAGGUAAUUAUGCCUCACCCUUGGCAUGACUGGUGGGCUGCAUGAAGCAG